UCAUCAACUUGAAUGGCAUUGUGGGAGGGAGCAAUAUAUCAUGCGCUUGGAAGAAUAUAAUCACUCUGUCAGAAGGUGGGAGUUGAUCAGUGUUUCUUGUGCGCAUGUCGCCUUUCUACAAUUGCAUGCGAUGGACAUGAUUCAAACAUGUUGGGUUGUCACAAUAAAGUUUUUGAAGAUGAGCCCACAUGGUAGGCCAAAAACCCAGGAGAAGCCAGAUGUAUCAAGAACUAGUUCGAAGAAACCACAGAAGCUGUACGUGAAAGCACAGAGGGCUUUAGGGUGUGGAUUUUGCUCACGACCUGAGCAUAACUGAGGACUUUCGAACUGAGGACACUAUUUGAGUGAUGGCAGAUCAAAGCCACGCAGGAUGGAGUCGGUUACAGCCUGAUUCCCAGUUUGUCGGGAUGGUGCGGGUAAUUAAUCAAGGCCUACAGUGAAGGCAAUCCAGUCCCAUUAGCAGACUAAUUUGAGCAGGUUCAGAGUCAGGUUCAAAGUAUUAUAUGAAAAGAUAAGAUGGAAGCAAAGUUAAAUCACCAUUGCUUUACAGCAGAGACUGGAUACGGUUGAAAACCCUGGAUGAAGCUGGGAAAGUGAAAUUCGUGAACGUUUCAGGCACAUUUCCACUUCUCUCUGGGUGAGAUGCAAAAGUACAUGGACUUGGAGGAUGAAGCUUCGACAGAGAAUGUGGCAACAGAAGCGGAUUGUCAUAGUUGGACCGCAUGGAUUCAGAAUUUGUAUUGAAGAAUGGUUUCAUAUAAUUCUAGAAUUUUUUUCUUUAUUCUAGUUUCAAUUUAACUCGA